rnacentral:rRNA from 1 species
UACGAAGGGGGCUAGCGUUGCUCGGAAUCACUGGGCGUAAAGGUGCGUAGGCGGGUCUUUAAGUCAGGGUGAAAUCCUGGAGCUCAACUCCAGAACUGCCUUUGAUACUGAAGAUCUUGAGUUCGGGAGAGGUGAGUGGAACUGCGAGUGUAGAGGUGAAAUUCGUAGAUAUUCGCAAGAACACCAGUGGCGAAGGCGGCUCACUGGCCCGAUACUGACGC